GACGAACGCUGGCGGCGUGCUUAACACAUGCCAGUCGAACGGUGAAGGGACCAGCUUGCUGGUUCUGGAUGAGUGGCGAACGGGUGAGUAACACGUGAGUAACCUGCCCCCUUCUUCUGGAUAACUGCAUGAAAGUGUGGCUAAUACGGGAUAUUCUGGGUCUGUCGCAUGGCGGGCCCGGGAAAGAUAUUGCUUCGGUGGGGGAUGGGCUCGCGGCCUAUCAGCUUGUUGGUGGGGUGAUGGCCUACCAAGGCGGUGACGGGUAGCCGGCCUGAGAGGGUGGACGGUCACACUGGGACUGAGACACGGCCCAGACUCCUACGGGAGGCAGCAGUGGGGAAUAUUGCACAAUGGGCGCAAGCCUGAUGCAGCGACGCCGCGUGAGGGAUGGAGGCCUUCGGGUUGUAAACCUCUUUCGCCAGUGAAGCAGGCCUGCUCCUUGUGGGUGGGUUGACGGUAGCUGGAUAAGAAGCGCCGGCUAACUACGUG
rnacentral:rRNA from 1 species